rnacentral:rRNA from 1 species
UACGUAGGGUCCGAGCGUUGUCCGGAAUUAUUGGGCGUAAAGAGCUCGUAGGCGGUUUGUCGCGUCUGCUGUGAAAUCUAGAGGCUCAACCUCUAGCGUGCAGUGGGUACGGGGCAGACUGAAGUGGUGUAGGGGGAGACUGGAAUUCCCGGUGUAGCGGUGAAAUGCGUAGAUAUCGGGGAGGAACAUCAGUGGCGAAGGCGGCCUUCUGGUCCAGUACUGACACUCGAAGUGCGAAAGCGUGGGGA